ensembl:lncRNA
CUUGUUUCCUGUCACAUGCACCCACGUGCUCAAUCACUUUGAAUCCAAGUCAGCUGCUGCCACGUCCGGCCUGAACAUCCAGAGUCGAGGACACGGUGUGGAGCUGACCUGGUUGUAACGCAGAUGCUGGAAAGGCCUCAUCGGGCUCCAGGCAGCAGCCGGCGACACGUGGAGCCGACAUCAGCAGGAAGAAACUACCGACAGCAGCAAGAAAAGAGGGAAACCUGCUGCCUGAGUGAAGAGGACACUAAAAACCAUAAUUUCAGGUGAUACACAGCUGCUGUAUCACUGUACACCAUAAUGUGAUUAUACAGAGAAACUGUGAAAACUGUGUGUUUAUCAUCCCGUACAGUCGGCAUAGAAGCUUUAGAAAGUGCCAACAGAAAAUCAGUAGCACCAAAAUGAUAAAAAUGCAUAUUUCUGAUCAGUUUUGUUAACUUGGUUUUCAUUUACGCAAGUAUAAUCUAUAUUUUUGUUCAUGAAAUGGUUGGAAAUGGCAGGAAAAUGCAUAUAAU